rnacentral:rRNA from 1 species
UACGAAGGGGGCUAGCGUUGCUCGGAAUCACUGGGCGUAAAGCGCACGUAGGCGGAUUGUUAAGUCAGGGGUGAAAUCCUGGAGCUCAACUCCAGAACUGCCUUUGAUACUGGCGAUCUUGAGUCUGGGAGAGGUGAGUGGAACUCCGAGUGUAGAGGUGAAAUUCGUAGAUAUUCGGAAGAACACCAGUGGCGAAGGCGGCUCACUGGCCCGGUACUGACGCUGAGGUGCGAAAGCGUGGGGAGCAAACAGG